rnacentral:tRNA from 1 species
AGCAGCGUGGCUCAGUGGAAAAGAGCCUGGGCUUGGGUGUCAGAGGUCAUGGGUUCGAAUCCCGGCUCUGCCA